CCAUUCCACUGAUUUAUGUGCAGUAUUCAAAGGUAUUUAACACAUAUAGAGAAGGCCAAGAAGACAGAAAUAACUUGUUUUUCUCUUUAUUUUCGCCUUAAAACGGGGCUUUAAAAACGCACCUCUCUGCCUCUUCUCUACCUUCAUCAUCAUCAACAAAAUGUGAGCUCAUCUACUUUUUUGCCCUUUUAAAUUAUACAAAAAAUACUGUAAACCCACCCUCCUACAAUCAUUCUUCCUGACCCCACAUUUAUUUAUAUUACUUUUUUUUUUUUUUGUUACUCUGUAUUCCUGGAGGAACAGACCUGGGCUUGGUUUAUUGUUUGAGGGACAAACAUGGAUCAAGAAGUUGCUUUUUUUCUUUUUUUUUUUUUUACACAUCAGCUGGAGUUGUAUUCAGCUUUGACGGUGUACAAUUGACAAACAUUACAUUUAAAAAAAAAAAAGUCUAAAGCAUGGUGUUGUAAAACAUCAGGAAUUCAUAAGGGUCAGAUGUCGAUAUUGCCAACAACUACAAGUGCUAAAAGGACUUGUUAAUUGAUUGGUGCUGACACGUUAAAAAAAAAAAUACACAAAAUAAAACCUAACAGGACCUCAUACUAAAUGCUGAAUCUUUGAAAUGUAAUAGUAAUAACAAAAAGAAAAAAAAAAAAAGAAGUGUAUGUUUAAAGCCAAAGAAGAAUUCCAGCCCAGCAGUACUGGUUUACUGAGGGUGA